UGCAGGCUGNAACCCGCCUGCACGAAGUUGGAAUUGCUAGUAAUCGCGGAUCAGCAUGCCGCGGUGAAUACGUUCCCGGGUCUUGUACACACCGCCCGUCACACCAUGGGAGCCGGUAAUACCCGAAGUCAGUAGUUUAGCCCUUGUGGAGGACGCUGCCGAAGGUAGGAUUGGCGACUGGGGUGAAGUCGUAACAAGGUAUC
rnacentral:rRNA from 1 species